AGAGCACACAGGCCUUCAUGGGCCAGAGUUUCUGUUAUUAAAAAUAAGAAAAGAAAAAAAACAGAGAAUGUCUCCUCUUAAUCCAGCAAUAACUCCAAGAAGAUAAUAAGUCAACAGUCACUUUUUUCAUGGCUACCUACUACAGAGUGUCCUAGUAAAAUAUAUACUUGAUACAUUAAUAUACGCUUUAAAAAGAAUAGCAGUUAGACAUUAACCAAUAUCUGUUUUGGUUAUGUUAAAGUCACAAAUGUUUAAAAUGCCCAUCGUUUCACAGUCAACCACAUAUAAGAUAUAUCUUGCUUUAUUAAGUGUAUUUAACACCUAAAAGUGCCACACACUUUCCAGGGCACACUCAUCUGAGGGAGUUUGUAGAAGAUGCAGUGCUCAUGGGGCCCUAGGUUGUUAGCUCUGAGGCUGCCAUGCUUCAUUCACCAACAUGUAUUCCCUUACAACUUGGGCCCAGCAACAACAGAUUUACUAUAUAAGCCUCCAGUACUUCCUGAAAAAGUCCUUUCCAAAUACCCUCAAAAACAAACAAACAAACAAAAACAGUCCUCUUUCUGUGUUUCAAUCAAGGCUAUAAAAGUAACCCAUGUUAAAAAGCCAGGAUGGCUGCAAUGAAUGGAGCACACAGAAGGCCUCCUGAGCAGUAUAGACUUUAUUUUUCCAUCGUGGGGCUCCUGUAAUUUUUAAAAGUCUGUUUGAAGAUAUUAAUUUGGCAGGAAUGAGGAAGAUGGAUUCAAGGGAUUAGGAACUGUAGGGAGAUGUAGCAAGUGGAUGAAGGCCUGGACAUGAAUAAUGUUCACAAGAAUGGGAAGGAGGGAAAGAUUAAAAGGGAUAUUUAGAAAGAAGAACUGACAAGCCUUGGUAACGGAGCAGAUAUAGGAGAUAAUGAGGAGAGAGGAGUUGGAGUUGGAGUUGGUGAGGAGAGAUGGAGUUGGAGUUGGAUACAGUGACAACUUCGAAGUUUCUAUCCAGAGGCUGGGAGUGUGAUGGGCCAUUGACAGAAAUGGCAAACGGAGAGCUGGUUUGCAAUGGAUCAAGAUGAGGGUUGAACUCAGAGAUUCUUAAAUCUAAAACAUCU
rnacentral:lncRNA from 1 species